rnacentral:rRNA from 1 species
UACGUAGGGGGCAAGCGUUGUCCGGAUUUAUUGGGCGUAAAGCGCGCGCAGGCGGUUUAUUAAGUCUGAUGUGAAAGCCCACGGCUCAACCGUGGAGGGCCAUUGGAAACUGGUAGGCUUGAGUGCAGGAGAGGAGAGCGGAAUUCCCGGUGUAGCGGUGAAAUGCGUUGAUAUCGCUAGGAACUCCGGUGGCGAAGGCGAGGUGCUGGACCAUUUCUGACGCUGAGGCGCGAAAGCCAGGGGAGCGAACGGG